rnacentral:lncRNA from 1 species
UCCAAAGUACAAACAUACAAUAAUCAGGAUAAACAAAAAAAAAGGAGAUAUAUCUAAAACAAGCCAAUUAUUAUAGGUAAGAUUUCUAACUGUUAGAGACACUAUAAACUUUAUUUGCAUGAUACAAAUACAAGUGUAUUAUUAAUCAAUUUAUAGAAACAAACUAACUUACAAUUUACAGAUGCAAAUUUACAGAAACAAACUAACUUACAAUUUACAGAUGCAGAAGUUAGUGAAUAGCUUCCAUUCAUCAGGACAAAAACUCGAUAGACUAGCAAAAUUACAAUCACACAUGGAGUGGUUUAUAACACACCACCCAAUAUACAUGGUUGAUAACAGUAAAGAAGUAGAGAGACUGGAUUUUACAAUUUUAACAUAGAGAAACUAGCAGAGAAGAUGAAAAACCAACAGAAAGUAGAAUUCAAAGAAAAGGAGAUUUAGGCUUCAGAGAGGUCUACUGAAGAGGAAUAUUACAAACUUUACUCGGAAAGACUAAGGUAGGAGUAGUACUGGUUUUCAAUAAAGACGAACCCGUGGUUGGAACCUUUGAGUGGAGUAUUUAGAAGAGAUAGAGGGCAGAGAGAGAGAGAGAGAGAGAGAGAGAGAGAGAG